rnacentral:rRNA from 1 species
GUGGCGGACGGGUGAGUAACACGUGGGUAACCUGCCCUUAAGUGGGGGAUAACAUUUGGAAACAGAUGCUAAUACCGCAUAGAUCCAAGAACCGCAUGGUUCUUGGCUGAAAGAUGGCGUAAGCUAUCGCUUUUGGAUGGACCCGCGGCGUAUUAGCUAGUUGGUGAGGUAAUGGCUCACCGAGGCGAUGAUACGUAGCCGAACUGAGAGGUUGAUCGGCCACAUUGGGACUGAGACACGGCCCAAACUCCUACGGGAGGCAGCAGUAGGGAAUCUUCCACAAUGGACGCAAGUCUGAUGGAGCAACGCCGCGUGAGUGAAGAAGGCUUUCGGGUCGUAAAACUCUGUUGUUGGAGAAGAAUGGUCGGCAGAGUAACUGUUGUCGGCGUGACGGUAUCCAACCAGAAAGCCACGGCUAACUACGUGCCAGCAGCCGCGGUAAUACGUAGGUGGCAAGCGUUAUCCGGAUUUAUUGGGCGUAAAGCGAGCGCAGGCGGUUUUUUAAGUCUGAUGUGAAAGCCCUCGGCUUAACCGAGGAAGCGCAUCGGAAACUGGGAAACUUGAGUGCAGAAGAGGACAGUGGAACUCCAUGUGUAGCGGUGAAAUGCGUAGAUAUAUGGAAGAACACCAGUGGCGAAGGCGGCUGUCUGGUCUGUAACUGACGCUGAGGCUCGAAAGCAUGGGUAGCGAACAGGAUUAGAUACCCUGGUAGUCCAUGCCGUAAACGAUGAAUGCUAGGUGUUGGAGGGUUUCCGCCCUUCAGUGCCGCAGCUAACGCAUUAAGCA